GUCCAGACUCCUACGGGAGGCAGCAGUGGGGAAUAUUGGGCAAUGGGCGCAAGCCUGACCCAGCAACGCCGCGUGAAGGAAGAAGGCUUUCGGGUUGUAAACUUCUUUUCUCAGGGACGAAGCAAGUGACGGUACCUGAGGAAUAAGCCACGGCUAACUACGUGCCAGCAGCCGCGGUAAUACGUAGGUGGCAAGCGUUAUCCGGAUUUACUGGGUGUAAAGGGCGUGUAGGCGGGACUGCAAGUCAGAUGUGAAAACCACGGGCUCAACCUGUGGCCUGCAUUUGAAACUGUAUUUCUUGAGUGCUGGAGAGGCAAUCGGAAUUCCGUGUGUAGCGGUGAAAUGCGUAGAUAUACGGAGGAACACCAGUGGCGAAGGCGGAGUGCUGGACAGUAACUGACGCUGAGGCGCGAAAGCGUGGGGAGCAAACAGGAUUAGAUACCCCAGUACCG
rnacentral:rRNA from 1 species